rnacentral:rRNA from 1 species
CAAAAACAUAGCUAACAGAAAAUAAUAAUGUUGGUGAGACCUGCUCCAUGAAAAUAGCUGCGGUAAUCGUGACCGUACUAAGGUAGCAUAAUAAAUCGCCUAUUAAUUGUAGAAUAGAAUGAAGGUUAAACGAAAAUUCAACUGUCUCAAAAACAACUUUGUGAAAAUUUAUUGUGUGCUAAUAUUCACACUAAAAUAGCAAGACGAUAAGACCCUGCAAACUUUAAAUCUUAAGUUUCGUUGGGGCAACGACCUUAUAACAGUAACUAAGGUAACACCCGUUUAAAAAUAAACGCAAUAAAAUAAAAGUUCUGCAGGGAUAACAGCGUAAUAUUAUUUCAAGAAAAUAUCUUAAAUAAAGAUUGCGACCUCGAU